rnacentral:rRNA from 1 species
GGCGGCAGGCUUAACACAUGCAAGUCGAGCGGAGAUGAGGUGCUUGCACCUUAUCUUAGCGGCGGACGGGUGAGUAAUGCUUAGGAAUCUGCCUAUUAGUGGGGGACAACAUUCCGAAAGGAAUGCUAAUACCGCAUACGUCCUACGGGAGAAAGCAGGGGAUCUUCGGACCUUGCGCUAAUAGAUGAGCCUAAGUCGGAUUAGCUAGUUGGUGGGGUAAAGGCCUACCAAGGCGACGAUCUGUAGCGGGUCUGANAGGAUGAUCCGCCACACUGGGACUGAGACACGGCCCAGACUCCUACGGGAGGCAGCAGUGGGGAAUAUUGGACAAUGGGGGGAACCCUGAUCCAGCCAUGCCGCGUGUGUGAAGAAGGCCUUAUGGUUGUAAAGCACUUUAAGCGAGGAGGAGGCUACUGAGACUAAUACUCUUGGAUAGUGGACGUUACUCGCAGAAUAAGCACCGGCUAACUCUGUGCCAGCAGCCGCGGUAAUACAGAGGGUGCGAGCGUUAAUCGGAUUUACUGGGCGUAAAGCGUGCGUAGGCGGCUUUUUAAGUCGGAUGUGAAAUCCCCGAGCUUAACUUGGGAAUUGCAUUCGAUACUGGGAAGCUAGAGUAUGGGAGAGGAUGGUAGAAUUCCAGGUGUAGCGGUGAAAUGCGUAGAGAUCUGGAGGAAUACCGAUGGCGAAGGCAGCCAUCUGGCCUAAUACUGACGCUGAGGUACGAAAGCAUGGGGAGCAAACAGGAUUAGAUACCCUGGUAGUCCAUGCCGUAAACGAUGUCUACUAGCCGUUGGGGCCUUUGA